rnacentral:rRNA from 1 species
GAUGAACGCUGGCGGCGUGCCUAAUACAUGCAAGUCGAGCGAACAGACGAGGAGCUUGCUCCUCUGACGUUAGCGGCGGACGGGUGAGUAACACGUGGAUAACCUACCUAUCUGACUGGGAUAACUUCGGGAAUCCGGCGCUAAUACCGGAUAAUCUCUUGAACCGCAUGGUUCAUUAGUGAAAGUCGGUUUUGCUGUCUCUUAUAGCUGGAUCCGCGCUGCAUUAGCUAGUUGGUAAGGUAACGGCUUACCAAGGCAACGAUGCGUAGCCGACCUGAGAGGGUGAUCGGCCACCCUAGAACGUGGACACGGUCCUGACUCCUACGGGAGGCAGCAGUAGGGAAUCUGCCGCAGUGGGCGAGAGCAUUACGGAGCAACGCCGCGUGUGAUAUGAAGAUCUUGGGAUCGUAAAACUCUGUUAUUAGGUAAGAACAAAUGUGUAAGUAACUAUGGACGUCUUGACGGUACCUAAUCAGAAAGCCACGGCUAACUACGUG